AAUUUAAUUAUCUUUAGUCACAAUAUUCUUUACUGGGCUAUUUGUGAUCACCCUUUUACUUUACAAUUCCUUUCAGGUAAUAAGAGUGUAGUUGGGUCGAGCAGGGAUAACAAGGGAAUAGAACGGUGGUCUAUAGCUGUUGAGGUUCUCCCUAAAUAGUAUGGAAAUAAUUUUAUUGAUGACUUUAGAUAAGUGUGUCGUAUUGUAUACGUCAUUUGAUAUUUAAUUUUGGUGAACUGAAUAGGGUGAGGUGAACCCAACUUUGGAAGAGUGUUUUGCCACUAUCAUACAAGAUGUAUAAUGACAUACAACCUCGUGUUAUCAUAAGACAGGAUUGUGCACAUCCACUUACUGAGUAUAUCUACGAGCACUACCUAUAUGAUCUUGGAGUUUAUUUGAAAUAUAAUUUUCACUUUGAGACAGUGGAGAUAGUUAUAUGUCAAGAGAAGACUCACCAUUGGAAAGAAGAUUAUAGUAAUCUUCUCGUUUUUCUUUGGGAUCUAUUGGGUCAACCAAGGAUAAUUCUGUGGACAUAUGAUAUCUAUCAUAACCUAGACACAUGGCCUCCCAUGUACGAAGGUUUUCUUGAGCACUUCCCAAAG
rnacentral:lncRNA from 1 species